UCCCCAUCAACUACUCAAUAUUAAUUUGAUUACAUACACAGUAUCUUUUUUUGCAGAAUUAGUUUUUGGAUCCUAGCCCCUAUAAUGAACAUUCAUUCCUAUCUAUUGCUAUAAAAGAAAGAUCGUUGUCAAGAACUUUUCCUUUGUUCUGUACUUUUUUUUGUGUUAUUUAGAUUUGUGGUAUUCGUCAUAUCCAAGGCAUCUCCCUACAAACACCACAUUCAUAUGACUAUGCCUCCUUUUGAAUUGGCAAUAUGCUGGGCUUCAUAACUAUUUCCAUUCUAAAGAUUACUAGUCAAUAGGCAUGUUUCAGUAGCAAACAUAUUCAUAUUCAUAGAGCCAUUAUAAAUGGCAAUCGUCUUCACUUACAGUAUGUUUCUCUUCCUCAUUCCUAUUUCAGUUUUCAUAGCACGGAUGUUAGUUCAUGCUUUAUGGCAUAUCAUUAAGAUAUUCUCUUCUCGUAAUUAUUAUAACUACCAUUCUACCAAUAGUGUUUUCUUUUCUAUAAAUAAUCCUAGAGAAUCCAAUAAAUUUAGACAGGUAAAUUCUAACAUGCCAAGCAGAAUAAAGUAUUAUACAAACUGCAUUAGAGUUUAUAUAAGUGCAUCAUAGUAUGUAUGCACAUCCUUUGAUUUAGGCAAGUUACAAUUAGGCGUUAAAGCUUUAGUUGAUGGUAAAGAGUUAUUUCUCUCCAACAAUGUAUAAGGGUCGAAUCGCUACUUUAAUUGAUUGUACACUAUUGAUUGAUCCUUAAGUGUAUAGUAUACUUGGUUUCAAUUUUCACAUACAGCCAGCUAAAAUUCUGUUUUCAAGAUUUUAUGUCAACCACUCUCCUCGUCGAAGCUAUGCAUGCAGAGCAGUUUUAACAUGCUCCCUCUUACCCUCUCUUUUCACAUGAGAGGCAAGAGUAUAUAAUAGAUCUGAUCCGUGAUCUUAUUAAUUAGUGGUCUGCUUAUUUCUUACCUUCUUACCUCACAUGUAAAAAGAGGGGGUAAGAGGGAGCAUGUUAAAAUUUGCCAUGCAAUAAGAGAUAUUGCAAGUAUACCUAAGUUUUCAUUAGUUCUAGUAUUGAUUCAUAAAAAAUACUGUUGAUCUAUAAUGAACUAAAAAAGAAUCUAGGAAUUACUCACCUCAACUGAUAUUGUAUUAUUGGUUGAUCCUAAACGUGUAUCAAUGUAUGUAGUCUAAAUUUUCACAACUAAAUAAAUAUUCUCUUUUUAGAUUGUUUGUAUUAUAUGCACUCAGUGUACUAUCUAUUUUCAUAUGCGUACACAGCAUUUUUUAUUCUUAUUACAAAGUAAGUGAUGCCUAUAUGCAUUUUCUCUUCCUGCACACAUAAUUGAUAGUGCGGCUGUGGCUAAAUUUGCAGUAUCGCUUAUAUAUAUAUAUAAUUAUAUACCAUUGUAGAAUAACUCAUAGUUUCCCUCAAACAUGGUUCUACCGCCCACAUUGCCUUUAGCUAUGAGUUAAGAAAAUCUAGGUUGCAUCAUGUCUACGUUAAUCUCAUUCCUGCUCCCAGGUGUGCCGCCUCUCUUUCUUCUCAUUAGGUCCAUCCCUUCUUUGUCUGCACGGACAGGAGAAGGUUCAUGCUCCAUAUCAUGACGACAAAAUGGCUUGGACUGGAGGGGCACCACAACCAUAUCGAUGAUAUGAGGACCACUUAAAAACUGUGACAGAUGCAUGUAUUGUUUGGUUGUGGUCUUUUUUUUUGUAAUUUUUGAUGACCUUUAGACAUGCGAACAUGUGCCGGUGCAACGGAGGUACUCCAAGCCUCAGAGUAUUUGAUAAGUUC